CUUAUGUAGAAACAGUGUAACUAAAAUAAUAUGUGAGGGACAGAAAAAAUAUCCCUCCAAACAUACCAUCCACUGGUGUUGAAGCUGCCCUGGAUGGGAGAGUGUCUGCAAAGGAGAGACCAAGUUCCUCCAUGGCAACAAUCAAGGUGUUUGGUGGGGAUUUGGUUGUUGCGAUACAAGAUGCUGAUUGGUGUUGUUGUUUUCUCUUUGUGCUUUUUGCUUGGCUUUUACUUCCAAGAUGCCCAGCAUUGGAAAACACUUUUUUUCUUUCAUCUAAGAGAUGUUUUGCUUCUAUUCGUAGUCUCAGCCUUAUGAAUCUGCUGGUUAGUUUUUUUUGCACAUCAUGACAUGCAGGGAGCAGGCCUUGUAAUAGACUUGUAAUAGACUUGCUCCCAACAGAGACUGAUUUCAGUGCCUGGUGGAACUCCACUGGUGUUGGGACAGGGUUCCUUUGCCUUAUGCAGCUGAACAAGUUUUCAAGACAGUCCUGGGUAAACCUGCUUGUCAACACAAACUCAUGUCCAUGGUCAAGCAUGUCUUCUUGAAUAGACAAAACUGUUGAUGUUGCCAUGAUGAUUCCUGUUUGCACUGGUUUCCAGCUUCCUGUCUGACCUAUCUUAAGUCCACAGAACAGUGUUAUUGUGUCUUGGAGGAAUUUAAUGGCUUUGUUGUAUUCUUCCAUCUUGUGUCUGCUUAGAGCCAUCACCGGGUGACGAGAGGACAUGAGGUCAAACCAGUGGUUCACCUGCUCCAAAAACCAGGCUGUUGUAAGGUUAGAGGCCCCACCUUCAUUUUGU